AUUCAGUCCACAAUGAAAAAGAAAGAUCACAGACCAACGUUUUUAGAAUUGAAAACCCGUCUUAAGGAAAUGAGAUUUGAUGAUGGUACAUACAUGUUUCCGGCCCACUGCAGAAAAUUACUUCGCGCCUCAUUCCGUGUACGUGAGAAAAGUGACACAAAGGACACCUGAACAAUUGGUAUAAAUUGAGUCUACAAUCCUUGUUGUCUAGCCUGACUUCUAUAAUUGCCGCCAUGGGGAUCGAGUAUUUUUUUCAAUAAACGAAUGGCAAGCCAUACUGUUUUACAUUUACGCAUACAUAUUACUGCAUGUUGAUUUACCUAUAUAGUAUUAAAACUUAUUCGUUUAGGGAUUUUGAUUGAUUUAGAGACAAUUUUUUUACGUGCCAUGCAGGGGCGUAUUGUGACUAUCUUAACUGGGGGAUCGAGUGGGGGUGCACCCCCCACGUUUUACCGUCAUGUUUCUCACAACUCGUAAAUAAGAGCAAUACGCACAAACUAACCAACCCAAAAGAAAUGGCCCCAUUAUGCAAUUUAAAUCGUAAAUAGUAAUGUUUCCAGUAACAGCAUUAAUAAUAGUAGUAGUAAUA